rnacentral:rRNA from 1 species
UUGCAAGCAGCCGCGGUAAGACAGAGGGGGCAAGCGUUGCUCGGAAUUACUGGGCGUAAAGGGCGCGUAGGCGGGAUGGCAAGUCGGUCGUGAAAGCCUUCGGCUCAACCGAAGAACGUCGGCCGAUACUGCCGUUCUUGAGGGAUGCAGAGGAGACUGGAAUUCCCGGUGUAGCGGUGAAAUGUGUAGAGAUCGGGAGGAACACCGGUGGCGAAGGCGGGUCUCUGGGCAUCUCCUGACGCUGAGGCGCGAAAGCGUGGGGAGCAAACGGGAUUAGAUACCCCGGUAGUCC